GCCUCGGUGGGAAAUAGUAAAUAAAGAUGGGGCAUAGAAGCAGAACCGAGUCGUAUGUGUGGAGGGACAGUAACUGUGUGUGUAUAUGUAAGCAUUUAAACACCGCAGAGAGUACAAUUAACGGUAACAGUAUUGUAGAAAUUAAUUUCACCGAAACAAUAACGUGGCGCACAGUGUGACGUCAAAAAAGGCGCACACCUAUGACGCUGCGUUUUCUCCGUUUUCCUCGUCCACACGUAAAUGCAAAAACGGAGUUUUCGAAAAUAUCCACCCUGGCAGGCGUUUUUAGAAAUCUCCGUUUUCAGUGACCGAAAACGCCGUUUACGUGUGGACGAAAGGUGCAAACGCAUAGAAAAAUCUGCGUUUUCAAAAAUACCCGGAAAAAGGUGUGAUCCUGGAGAUCCCUGCACUUCCUGUGACAACAGGAAGUGAUGUUACUCUGCGUUGCAGACAGAUCAAUGGUGACUUGGUGGCAGCUUACUUCUUCUUCAGUGGACGUCUUCUUGGAUCUGGAUAUAAAGAGCACACCAUCUCCAACGUGCAGCAGUCUAAUAAGGGGGUGUACUGGUGUGCUACUGAUCUAGCUGGACCAUCUCCUCAAAGCUUCCUAAAGAUCACAGAUUCACCUACAACUGCUUUCAGAUCUUCUGUGGCUUCUCCUCAUCUUGAAACCAUGCCCUCCAGCUCCUCUCUUCCCUCUUUUUCUCAUCCAACUAGCUCUUCCUCACCUCCUCCUCCUUCUCUUCAACCUCCUCCUUCCUCUCUGUCUGUGUUCCGACUUCUCUUACACCUGCUGGUCUUCUGUCCAUACUUCAUCAUCACGGGUCUGCUGCUGUCCAUCUGCUUGGAUCAGAUCUACACCACACGCUCAGGAAAUAGACUUGUCGUUUCCAUGGAGAUGACUCACCAGGUUGGACAGAAUGAGGAUAUUGCCGUUGAUAUCACCACUGAGCAUGACUUCUCAUCUGAAGCAAAGUGACCUGAAACACGUCACUCUUCUUGAACUCUGAGGAAGCUUUAUCACAAGCAAGCAGAGAGAGAGGGAGAGAGAGAGAAAGAGAGAGAGAGAACAUCACUCCAGAAGCUUCGGCUUCUCAUUUCUCAGAAGGAAAAUGUAAUUCUGGUUUCCCCUUGUUCACUUCCUUUCUUUUGAUUCGACUGAAAAUGUGUUGUUUCACGCCUUUUUUUUUCACAUUUUUGUUUUUUCAACACAGUCAGCCUGAGGAGGCUUUAAUUCAUGUGUUAUUUGUGAUGGUAAAUCAGGUUCAGCUUAAAUCGGACAAAUUCAGUAUUAGGAAUCUGCCUCAUUAUGUAAAGUAAUUUAUGUAUAUAAUGAAAUAGAUCCAACAUCUUUCUUUAACAUAAUUGCAGACUGAAAAGAUGAUGCCUUCCCAAAAGAAAAAGUACUGUAGGUACUACUAUUACUAGGGUAUAUUACUAGACUUAAUAUGUACUACUAUACAGUUUACAAAAAUUAAAAAAUAAAAUAAAAGCUUGCUC
ensembl:lncRNA